GGGGGCGUAGCUCAACUGGCAGAGCAGCGGACUUUUAAUCCGAAGCGUGCGGGUUCGAGCCCCGCCGCCCCUA
rnacentral:tRNA from 1 species